AUUGAACGCUGGCGGCAUGCUUUACACAUGCAAGUCGAACGGCAGCGCGGGCUUCGGCCUGGUGGCGGGUGGCGAACGGGUGCGUAAUGCAUCGGCACGUGCCCAGUAGUGGGGGAUAGCCCGGCGACAGCCGGAUUAAUACCGCAUACGACCUGAGGGUGAAAGCGGGGGACCGGAAGGCCUCGCGCUAUUGGAGCGCCCGAUGUCCGAUUAGCAAGUUGGUUGGGUAAAGGCUUACCAAGGCGACGACCCGUAGCUGGUCUGAGAGGACGACCAGCCACACUGGGACUGAGACACGGCCCCGACUACUACGGGAGGCAGCAGUGGGGAAUUUUGGACAAUGGGGGCAACCCUGCUCCAGCCAUGCCGCGUGCGGGAAGAAGGCCUUCGGGUGGUAAACCGCUUUUGUUCGGGAAGAAAUCCUCUGGGCUAAUACCCCGGGGGGAUGACGGUACCGGAAGAAUAAGCACCGGCUAACUACGUG
rnacentral:rRNA from 1 species